AAAGAUGUUACGUGUUGCAAUGUGCUAUCUUGCCUCCUUUCGUAUUUUUUUGAUCUUUUCUAUAUUUUCCAUUUCCCUUUUUUAUUCUCUCCAGAGAUAUCUAAAACGAAGAGCAA
rnacentral:ribozyme from 1 species